UUAAAGGGUCCACGCCAGAUCAUUUACAAGC
rnacentral:piRNA from 1 species